ACUCCUCACAUCAUCUUUCGGUA
rnacentral:siRNA from 1 species